rnacentral:rRNA from 1 species
CCUACGGGUGGCAGCAGUGAGGAAUAUUGGUCAAUGGCCGUAAGCCUGAACCAGCCAAGUCGCGUGAGGGAUGAAGGUUCUAUGGAUCGUAAACCUCUUUUAUAAGGGAGCAAAGUGUGGGACGUGUCCUGCUUUGUGUGUACCUGAUGAAUAAGCAUCGGCUAACUCCGUGCCAGCAGCCGCGGUAAUACGGAGGAUCCGAGCGUUAUCCGGAUUUAUUGGGUUUAAAGGGUGCGUAGGCGGCCGUUUAAGUCAGCGGUGAAAGUCUGUGGCUCAACCCUCGAAUUGCCGUUGAAACUGGGACGCUUGAGUGUGUUUGAGGUAGGCGGAAUGCGUGGUGUAGCGGUGAAAUGCAUAGAUAUCACGCAGAACCCCGAUUGCGAAGGCAGCCUGCCAAGCCAUGACUGACGCUGAUGCACGAAAGCGUGGGGAUCAAACAGGAUUAGAUACCCGUGUAGUC